UACAGGGGGGGCAAGCGUUGUUCGGAAUUACUGGGCGUAAAGGGCUCGUAGGCGGCCAACUAAGUCCGACGUGAAAUCCCCAGGCUUAACCUGGGAACUGCGUCGGAUACUGGUUGGCUUGAAUCCGGGAGAGGGAUGCGGAAUUCCAGGUGUAGCGGUGAAAUGCGUAGAUAUCUGGAGGAACACCCAUGGCGAAGGCAGCAAACUGGUCAUCAACUGACGCUGAGGCGCGAAAGCGUGGGUAGCAAACAGG
rnacentral:rRNA from 1 species